rnacentral:rRNA from 1 species
GACGAACCACACAAACGUUAUUCGGAAUUACUGGGCUUAAAGGGUGCGUAGGCUGCGCAGAAAGUUGGGUGUGAAAUCCCUCGGCUCAACCGAGGAACUGCGCCCAAUACUACUGUGCUCGAGGGAGACAGAGGUGAGCGGAACUUAGGGUGGAGCGGUGAAAUGCGUUGAUAUCCUAAGGAACACCCGUGGCGAAAGCGGCUCACUGGGUCUCUUCUGACGCUGAGGCACGAAAGCGUGGGGAGCGAACAGG